ACCUGGGAUAACUCAGUCUGUAGAGCAGGAGACUCUUAAUCUCAGGGUUGUGGGUUCAAGCACCACAUUGGGUG
rnacentral:tRNA from 1 species